GUGAUUUACUGGGAAGUGUUUCUAGGAGAAACUGUUAAGGGUGUGAGGGAGGUAGGACAGAGCAAGGCAGAAGCCAAGUAAGGGGCUAGUUUCAGGCAAAGUCCUGGGGAGGGUGUAGUGAAUUCCUGCAGCGGCAUUGCUGAGUAGAAGAUGCAUCUCAGAAUUGUCUUGACCUGAGGGGAGGAGAUGGGCUUCCAUAUUUCCCUGCCAGUCCUGCGCUAGAGGAGGAAGGUAGGGAGGUACAGAGGUAAACUUCUAGGUGCUUCUGGCUCCCUGCUAUUGCAGCCCAAGCUGUGCCAGGACUCAAGAGCACCUAGUGGAAGACAGUCCUGCAUAGAGAACUUUGGAGAAUGGCCCUGUCUGAGAGAUAUGUUACCCUAAACACCAAGACUCAAUAUAUAUGACUUAAGAAAAAAAAGAUCCUUAUGCACUAUCUGAAGGUGAUGCUUCCUGACUUUUGCAACAGAAAGAAUGCUGUCUUCCUGUGCCUGCGGAGAUGAUAAUCAAGCUGGCACACUGACAAUCAAUGUAAAUUCAUUAAACAAAACAGGAAGUAAACAGGUAGGACAUCUUUCUCCUCUGUGCUCCUUCCUUUUCCUCAUGAGAGAAGAAUGGACUAACCUCAUUGAUUGAGAUUGUCAUGACAAUGUGUCUCCUCCCCUUUCCUUUCUGAUUCUGGGUUGAACCCCAAGGAAACAUGAUGAACCAGGUUGCAUGACUGUGAAGGCAGGAUAAAAGAAAAGCAGAAGAACCACAUUAAUCAUGGCAGACAUUGAUGAAGAAGGACAAUGAGGUUUUUCUGGUGGGUUUCUGGAGAAAUCAACUGUCAACAUUCUGCAAAACAAUCACUGACUCAAAAAACUCAAGAAGGGAGUAAAGAUAAUUAAUAAAGUAAGUUAAGUUGUAUUAUACCCACAAAUACAAACCAGUGGAAUCAUUUCUGGGUAACAUAUUGAGCUAAUAAAGUAGUAAAAAGGUGUCAAUGAUUUUAGGUAAAAGAUAUUGCCACCCCACUCUUCUUAUGUGGCGAUGCCUAAAGAAGAGAUCGCGCUGGCUGCAAUAAUGCCCCAAUGGUCAAGAUAUGCCAGUUAUUCAAAUUGGAAAAUCCAGGUAUAUUCAUGGAACUUACCAAUCUUUGGUUACUAGUAGGAAGUCUGCACAAGCAGCAACUACCACAGUUGUUCUAAAAACAGGGUGACAAAAGGCCACUCUUUCAGGCUAUGAAGACAUUUUGGCUUUUGUUUUCACAAUUAGAGACUCAGCAGCUUUCUGGACAGAAACUGCUGGAGUCCAGGCUAUGGCAUACUUGUUUCAUCUGCCCUCUCC
rnacentral:lncRNA from 10 species